ACACAUUCUCACUCCCAACUCGUCAUAUACUGACGCUUGGUCAGGAACCCUCGGCGUAGGUUAUUGACGCACAGGGUACCCCUUUAGCGUCACAUUUAGACGUGCAGGGAUUCCCUAUAGAAUCUGUAACGUUACCUGAGCCUGAAGCGUCAUAGGGAGACGCUGGAGGCUCGUAUAAUUACCAAUAGAUGUCAACGCACUUUUUAAAACCUGAUUUACGCCUAUUAUCGCAGUUUUCUUCUUUUAAAAAUAUGUAAUUUUUAUUUUGUUCAUGAAAAGCGUCUGUAAACUGGGUCGAAACUACUGUAUGAAUAAACUUCGGUCCACGUGACAUCCCUUCACGGUGAGUUUAACGCCGCUCUGCUAUUGGUCAAACUGCAUCAACGGUGAGUUCUCAGAUGAGUUCAACUGUCAACAUUAAAUAGUAUGGUAAUGCUGCAUAAUGUAUUUUUAUUGGAGAUUAGUUGGUGUUUAUAAAUAUUUUAUCAUUAACUUUAUAUUUAAUGAGUGAAAAUAUAUUCGGUUGUCCAGUUUAGGUUAACUAUAAAACUAUACUACUAAUAAAACUUUGAUUCAUUCAUAUUAUUUAUUAUUUUUUUACUUAAAAAAUAUUACAUUUCAAGUACUAAGUUUAAAAAUGUUUUUGGCUGAUCUUUUUCAUUUUAAAUUAUUCAUUGAAGUUGGGGUCAUUGUAUGUGGCGAUCUAUUUUUUACAGUCUAUGCUCGCUAUCCCAAGGUUCAUUGCGAUCCCAAGGUUCACUGCGGUUUUCCACAAGCCUGUUUCUGCCUAUCACCAUGAGUGAUUCCUUGAUACUCAUAUUUAUCAUCAAGAUCUCAAUUAUAAGCUCAAGUCUUGAUGACAACUUGAUGAUCUGCAGGAAGCACCACCAUGUAUAGAGGGCAAAGACCACUCUGGAAUCAGUCAAGGGUGAAAUGGAGUGAGGCAUACAAGGAUAUGUGUGGUUUUACUCUUGGGAAGGAGGUUGAACAGUGCAAUAUUUCUUCUAUAGGAUUGCAGUGACCAGACAUGCUACUGUAACUCUCAUGGUCAUGUGCUGGAAUUAGCAGAUAUUCAACAAUUUGGCCAUCUUGCUGACCUAUUGAUAUCAGAAGACCACAACAGCUCUGCAAAGCAAGUUGGAAAACAGAAUCCAUGAAACUGGCAGUGACCGGAAACCAGUUAGAAGACUUUGGUCU
ensembl:processed_transcript